UACGGAGGGGGCUAGCGUUGUUCGGAAUUACUGGGCGUAAAGCGCGCGUAGGCGGCUUUGUAAGUUAGAGGUGAAAGCCCGGAGCUCAACUCCGGAAUUGCCUUUAAGACUGCAUAGCUAGAAUCAUGGAGAGGUGAGUGGAAUUCCGAGUGUAGAGGUGAAAUUCGUAGAUAUCGGGAAGAACACCCGUGGCGAAGGCGGCUCUCUGGAACGCAACUGACGCUGAGACGCGAAAGCGUGGGGAGCAAACAGG
rnacentral:rRNA from 1 species